GACGGCGGGUGCCUAUACAUGCAGUCGUACGCACUGUGCCAUCUGUUUGAUGCGUGCUUGCUCCUGAUUGACUAUGGAUCACCAGUGAUGGGGGGAAGGGUGAGUAACACCUGCGCAACCUGCCCCGGAGCGGGGGGUAACCUUUGGAAACUAAUGCUAAUACCCUUGAACAACAUGGGCCGAUGGCUUUUGUUUGUUCGAUGGCUUUGGCUAUCACUCUGGGAUGGACCUGCGCUGCAUUAGCUAGUUGGUAAGGUAACGGCUUACCAAGGCUAUGAUGCCUGCCGAGUUGACAGACUGAUCGGCCCUGUGGAACUGACACACUCCUCCUACUCCUACCGGAGGCAAAUCUUCGGAAUCGUCCACAAUGGUGAUGAGCCUGAUGCACCAACGUGAAGUGAGUGAACAACGCUUUCGGCUCUGAUGGCUCUGAUGAUGGAGAAUAACAUGCGUGAUACUAACUGUUCACGCAUUGACCCUAUCCACCCCGAAAGUCUACGUUACCUACGUGCCAGCAGCCGCGAUAAUACGUACGUGGUCCGCGUUAUCCGGAUUUAUUGCGAGCGCAGCCAGCGCUUGAGGUCGCUUGUGUCUGACGUGAAAGCCUUCGACUUAAUCCAUCAAGUGCAUCGGAAACUGGGCGACUAGAAUGAAAAAGAAGAUCCUGGAACUCCAUGUGUAUGGGUGGAUUGCUGAGAUAUCUGCAAUAGCACCAGUGGCUAACGCGGCUGUCUGGGCUGCUACUGAUGCUGAGGCUCGAAAGCAUGCAUAGCUAAC
rnacentral:rRNA from 2 species